UCGUAACAAGGUUUCCGUAGGUGAACCUGCGGAAGGAUCAUUACCGAGUGAGGGCCCUCUGGGUCCAACCUCCCACCCGUGUUUAUUUUACCUUGUUGCUUCGGCGGGCCCGCCUUAACUGGCCGCCGGGGGGCUUACGCCCCCGGGCCCGCGCCCGCCGAAGACACCCUCGAACUCUGUCUGAAGAUUGUAGUCUGAGUGAAAAUAUAAAUUAUUUAAAACUUUCAACAACGGAUCUCUUGGUUCCGGCAUCGAUGAAGAACGCAGCGAAAUGCGAUACGUAAUGUGAAUUGCAAAUUCAGUGAAUCAUCGAGUCUUUGAACGCACAUUGCGCCCCCUGGUAUUCCGGGGGGCAUGCCUGUCCGAGCGUCAUUUCUGCCCUCAAGCACGGCUUGUGUGUUGGGCCCCGUCCUCCGAUCCCGGGGGACGGGCCCGAAAGGCAGCGGCGGCACCGCGUCCGGUCCUCGAGCGUAUGGGGCUUUGUCACCCGCUCUGUAGGCCCGGCCGGCGCUUGCCGAUCAACCCAAAUU
rnacentral:misc_RNA from 1 species